rnacentral:rRNA from 1 species
UGGGGAAUAUUGGACAAUGGGCGAAAGCCUGAUCCAGCCAUGCCGCGUGUGUGAAGAAGGUCUUCGGAUUGUAAAGCACUUUAAGUUGGGAGGAAGGGUUGUAACCUAAUACGUUGCAAUUUUGACGUUACCGACAGAAUAAGCACCGGCUAACUUCGUGCCAGCAGCCGCGGUAAUACGAAGGGUGCAAGCGUUAAUCGGAAUUACUGGGCGUAAAGCGCGCGUAGGUGGUUAGGUAAGUUGGAUGUGAAAGCCCUGGGCUCAACCUGGGAACUGCAUCCAAAACUGCUUGGCUAGAGUACGGUAGAGGGUAGUGGAAUUUCCUGUGUAGCGGUGAAAUGCGUAGAUAUAGGAAGGAACACCAGUGGCGAAGGCGACUACCUGGACUGAUACUGACACUGAGGUGCGAAAGCGUGGGGAGCAAACAGG